rnacentral:rRNA from 1 species
GUGAGGAAUAUUGCGCAAUGGAGGCAACUCUGACGCAGCCAUGCCGCGUGCAGGAAGAAGGCGCUACGCGUUGUAAACUGCUUUUAACCGGGAAGAAACCCCAGGACGUGUCCUGGGUUGACGGUACCGGAGGAAUAAGCACCGGCUAACUUCGUGCCAGCAGCCGCGGUAAUACGAAGGGUGCAAGCGUUAUCCGGAUUCAUUGGGUUGAAAGGGUGCGUAGGCGGAGCGUUAAGUCAGUGGUGAAAUCCUGCAGCUUAACUGUAGACUUGCCAUUGAUACUGGCGCUCUUGAGUGCGCUUGAAGUGGGCGGAAUGUGCCGUGUAGCGGUGAAAUGCUUAGAUAUGGCACAGAACACCAAUUGCGAAGGCAGCUCACUAAGGCGAUACUGACGCUGAGGCACGAAAGCGUGGGGAUCGAACAGGAUUAGAAACCCCUGUAGUCC